rnacentral:lncRNA from 1 species
UUACAUUAAAUUUUCCCCUCAGCUUCACUGCUUGGCUCUAGGUUAAGUUAAUGAUAAUCACCAAUUUUACUGUAUCUUCUAACAUAGUAGACCAAUGCUACUUUUUGUUGAUUACUCGUUGUUGCCUUAUCAGCAAGCCUUAAUCAACCACAGGAAUUGAAAUAUAGUGCUUGUUGUUGAGAUAAUAUUCUUUUGGCAUCUGACAAUAUUUGGCUAUAAAAUUGUGUUCAUUCAUUAAUGCUGAGAAGAAAUUUGGUAAGCUGCUCAUAUUUUCUCUGUUGAAUAAAACUAAACGUUUCAACUUUUGUUUUAAUCUGUAAAAUGCUUUCUUUGAAUGUAUUUUUACAUGGAACCCCAAUAUUUGAAAUACAUAAAAUUUAUAUCGUGUGGCUUAAACAGGGUUGGCUGUUCUUUUUCAACUGCCUUAGCUAACUCUGAAGGGAAUCAACAGAAAGGAAGAGAAAGAGACAGAGGGGGAGACAGAGAUGCAGAUAGAAUUGGAGAGGGUAAAGAGAAUGAAGAUGUGUGUGAUUCUUCUUUGAAUGACUCUAAUUUAUAUCAGGUUUGUCUGUUUGUAUAUGGAAUCACUAUUUAUCGUAUAUUUAUUAACACAGAAAUAGGUUAUUAAGUGAGAAGAACAAUAUAUUAUGAGGCUAUCUAUGCACACACACAAAAAUUCAGACACCAAUAAUAUUUUCAGUAUACAAUAUUGAGCAAGUUAUUUGCCCCAUCUCUUCCUUAGUCUGUCAUCUAUAGAACAGGAAGAAUAAUAAUAACAACUUCAUAAAACUUAUUAUAUGUAAAUAUAUUUAGAAUAAGGCU